rnacentral:rRNA from 1 species
CAAGUCGAACGGACCAUAUAAUUGGGUAACCGAAAGUAUGGUUAGUGGCGAAAGGGUGAGGAAUAGAUAGGAACGUACCCUGUGCUCUGGGAUAGCGUCUGAAGCUUCGGCUUCUUCCGAAAGGGGCGGUAAUUACCAGAUAAUGUCCUUCGGGACCAAAGAUUUAUUGGCAUUGGAGCGGCCUAUCUCCUAUCAGCUUGUUGGUGAGGUAACGGCUCACCAAGGCAACGACGGGUAGCGGGACUGAGUGGUUGGCCCGCCCACAUCGUGGACUGAGACACUGCCCGGACCUCCACGGAGGGCUGCAGUAACGGAUAUUGGGCAAUGGGCGAAAGCCUGACCAGCAAUGCCGCGUGCAGGAUGAAGCCCCUAGGGGUGUAAACUGCUGUCGGGGGUCAGAAAGCUGGUUUCGGCCAGUUGAUCAACCCCAGAGGAAGUCACGGCUAACUUCGUGCCAGCAGCCGCGGUAAUACGAAGGUGGCAAGCGUUAUUCGGAAUCAUUGGGCUUAAAGGGCACGCAGGCGGAACAGUGAGUGUUGUGUGAAAUCCCCCGGCUUAACCGGGGAAUUGCACAGCAAACUGCUGUUCUUGAGGCAGGUAGGGGUGCAUGGAACUCUUGGUGGAGCGGUGGAAUGCGUAGAUAUCAAGAGGAACGCCAGAGGUGAAGACGGUGCACUGGGCCUGUCCUGACGCUGAGGUGCGAAAGCGUGGGGAGCGAACGGGAUUAGAUACCCCGGUAGUCCACGCCGUAAACGAUGUCUACUAGGUCGUGGGUGUCCUGACACAUUCACGGCCGGAGCAAAAGUGUUUAGUAGACCGCCUGGGGAGUACGGCCGCAAGGUUAAAACUCAAAUGAAUUGACGGGGGCUCACACAAGCGGUGGAGCAUGUGGAUUAAUUCGAAGCAACGCGCAGAACCUUACCUGGGUUUGACAUGCUUGUAUGCCUUCUCUGAAGGAGUUAGGCUGCCUUCGGGUGAAACUUGCACAGGUGCUGCAUGGCUGUCGUCAGCUCGUGUCGUGAGAUGUCGGGUUAAGUCCUUUAACGAGCGAAACCCUUGCCGUUAGUUGCCAGCGAGUAAUGUCGGGGACUCUAACGGGACUGCCGGUGUUAAACCGGAGGAAGGUGGGGAUGACGUCAAGUCCUCAUGGCCUUUAUGCCCAGGGCUUCACACGUGCUACAAUGGCAAUUACAGAGCGACGCGAUACCGCGAGGUGGAGCAAAUCGCAAAAAAAUUGCCUCAGUUCGGAUUGCAGGCUGGCAAUUCGCCUGCAUGAAGUCGGAAUCGCUAGUAAUCGCGUAUCAGCAAUGACGCGGUGAAUGUGUUCCUGAGCCUUGUACACACCGCCCGUCAAGUGAUGGAAGCCGGGAGUACCCGAAGUCGGGUUGCUAACCUUUGGGAGGCGCCUGCCGACGGUAAG